AAGGGAAUAAAUGCUGGCCCCUCAGAGCAUCUGUAGCAAUGUGCUUGGGUCUGUGGAAUGUUUGUGUUUUGGCUAUUUACAGUAGAUCUUUCUGCUGCUCACUUUUUGGGUCGGCAGUGUGUUUAUGAGCUGUGAUACUCGCUGCAGAGGUCUGUGGCUUUACUUUUGAAGUCGGCAAGAGUAACCAGCCCACGAACCCACCGGGAGGAACGAAAAACUCGGGAUACGCUACCUUUAAGAGCUGUUAACACUCGCUGCAAAGGUCUGCAGCUUCACAUAGAUAAUGAACUCAGAGUAUCAACCCACCAGAAAAAAAAAAAAAACUCUGGACCCGUCUUAACAGCUGGAGGAACAAACUGCAGGCACUGCAUCCUUAAGAGCUGUAACACUCCCUGCGAGAAUUUGCGGCUUCAAUUUUGAAGUACGUGAGACCAAUAACCUGCCACGCAGUUGUGAACGAUCCCGGGAACAUGUCCUUUGUGAAGGAGACGGUGGACAAGCUGUUGAAAGGCUACGACAUUCGCCUAAGACCCGACUUCGGGGGUCCCCCGGUCUGCGUGGGGAUGAAUAUCGACAUCGCCAGCAUCGACAUGGUUUCCGAAGUCAACAUGUCUUCUUUCUGUUGGAGGUGCUUAGAAGCAGGAAUACCAUCAAAAGGCGUGAAGACACAGGGGAAGAAGAAAUUGAAGGGAGAAUAGAAACAGUUAAAUUUUUCUAAACAGAUUUCCAAUUCUGGCCAAGAUGGAAUAGUGCCAUUCCUCCCAGGUCCUUCCUCCCGGAACACAAAACUCUGGCCAUAACACAACAAAUAAACACAGGAAGAA
rnacentral:sRNA from 1 species